rnacentral:rRNA from 1 species
CAGCCGCCACGGGAAUACGAAGGGGGCUAGCGUUGUUCGGAUUUACUGGGCGUAAAGGGCGCGUAGGCGGACUGAUAAGUCAGGGGUGAAAUCCCAAGGCUCAACCUUGGAACUGCCUUUGAUACUGUUUGUCUUGAGUUCGAGAGAGGUAAGUGGAACUGCGAGUGUAGAGGUGAAAUUCGUAGAUAUUCGCAAGAACACCAGUGGCGAAGGCGGCUUACUGGUCUGUAACUGACGCUGAGGAGCGAAAGCGUGGGGAGCGUACAGGAUUAGAUACCCCCGUAGUCCCUGUCUCUUAUAC